rnacentral:misc_RNA from 1 species
GGGUUGUGAUCGUGGCGGCAUGUGAGUAGUUAUUGAUGUGAGUUUUUUGUCAGGCUCGCCGUUUUUUUCGGCCAACUGACGAAUUUCAUCUCUUUUAUGUCCACGCAAUUAGAUUAAUUGUUGGGUUUAUUGUUGCCCUCAUGGAAAAUUUAUCUAGUUUGGAUUUAAGUGUCAAAUGAUUUUAUUAUAUACCGUUCCUCCUCUUAUCCAAAGUUUCUAUGAGCGGUGUAUGAAGCUGGAUAUUUCUUUGGUAGUUUGAUUACAUUCAGAAAGUAAUCUUUUAUCGUUAAUCUGCCUAAUAUUUUACGGAUGUUGUGCAUGCUUAAGUUUUUGGGGAAGCCUUGUUGUGGAUUAUGUAAUUCGGUUUUGUCCUCAUUUUGUGAAAGAUGCCUACAUGUGUCGUGGCUCUCUAUUUUUUUGGUGGAGUGCAGACGUCAUUGUGUC